rnacentral:rRNA from 1 species
GGACCAGACUCCUACGGGAGGCAGCAGUGGGGAAUAUUGGGCAAUGGGCGCAAGCCUGACCCAGCAACGCCGCGUGAAGGAAGAAGGCUUUCGGGUUGUAAACUUCUUUUAAGAGGGAAGAGCAGAAGACGGUACCUCUUGAAUAAGCCACGGCUAACUACGUGCCAGCAGCCGCGGUAAUACGUAGGUGGCAAGCGUUGUCCGGAUUUACUGGGUGUAAAGGGCGUGCAGCCGGGAAGACAAGUCAGAUGUGAAAUCCCGCGGCUCAACCGCGGGACUGCAUUUGGAACUGUAAGGCUAGAGUGUCGGAGAGGCGGGCGGAAUUCCUAGUGUAGCGGUGAAAUGCGUAGAUAUUAGGAGGAACACCAGUGGCGAAGGCGGCCUGCUGGACGAUGACUGACGUUGAGGCUCGAAAGCGUGGGGAGCAAACAGGAUUAGAUACCCGAGUAA